AGCAUAUCAAUAAGCGGAGGAAAAGAAACCAACCGGGAUUGCCUCAGUAACGGCGAGUGAAGCGGCAAGAGCUCAAAUUUGAAAUCUGGCCCCCCUCGGGGUCCGAGUUGUAAUUUGCAGAGGAUGCUUCGGGUGCGGUCCCCAUCUAAGUGCCCUGGAACGGGCCGUCAUAGAGGGUGAGAAUCCCGUCUGGGAUGGGCGGCCGCGCCCGUGUGAAGCUCCUUCGACGAGUCGAGUUGUUUGGGAAUGCAGCUCUAAGCGGGUGGUAAAUUUCAUCUAAAGCUAAAUACUGGCCGGAGACCGAUAGCGCACAAGUAGAGUGAUCGAAAGAUGAAAAGCACUUUGAAAAGAGAGUUAAACAGCACGUGAAAUUGUUGAAAGGGAAGCGUUGUCCACCAGACUCGCCCGGGGGGGUUCAGCCGGCACGUGUGCCGGUGUACUCCUCUCCGGGCGGGCCAGCAUCGGUUUGGGCGGCUGGUGAAAGGCCCCGGGAAUGUACCACCCUCCGGGGUGUCUUAUAGCCCGGGGUGCCAUACAGCCAGCCUGGACCGAGGCCCGCGCUUCGGCGAGGAUGCUGGCGUAAUGGUGGUCAACGGCCCGUCUUGAAACACGGACCAAGGAGUCUAACAUCUAUGCGAGUGUUCGGGUGUCAAACCCGUCCGCGCAGUGAAAGCGAACGGAGGUGGGAGCCCCUCGGGGCGCACCAUCGACCGAUCCUGAUGUCUUCGGAUGGAUUUGAGUAAGAGCAUAGCUGUUGGGACCCGAAAGAUGGUGAACUAUGCCUGAAUAGGGCGAAGCCAGAGGAAACUCUGGUGGAGGCUCGCAGCGGUUCUGACGUGCAAAUCGAUCGUCAAAUUUGGGUAUAGGGGGCGAAAGACUAAUCGAACCAUCUGGUAGCUGGUUCCUGCCGAAG
rnacentral:rRNA from 1 species